ACUUUAUCAAAUGGAAUAUAAUACAAAACCUGCCAGGUUUUGUAUUAUAUUCCAUUUGAUAAAGUC